rnacentral:ncRNA from 1 species
UUUAUAAAGAAGAGUGGAGAGACAGGCUCUAUGAAGCUCUAGCAACCUUCCAAAGUAGUGGAGAUGGUGCUAAUUCCUGAUCUGCCUAUGGCAGAAAAUAUA